GAUGAACGCUGGCGGCGUGCCUAAUACAUGCAAGUCGAGCGAAUGGAUUAAGAGCUUGCUCUUAUGAAGUUAGCGGCGGACGGGUGAGUAACACGUGGGUAACCUGCCCAUAAGACUGGGAUAACUCCGGGAAACCGGGGCUAAUACCGGAUAACAUUUUGAACCGCAUGGUUCGAAAUUGAAUGGCGGCUUCGGCUGUCACUUAUGGAUGGACCAGCGUCGCAUUAGCUAGUUGGUGAGGUAACGGCUCACCAAGGCAACGAUGCGUAGCCGACCUGAGAGGGUGAUCGGCCACACUGGGACUGAGACACGGCCCAGACUCCUACGGGAGGCAGCAGUAGGGAAUCUUCCGCAAUGGACGAAAGUCUGACGGAGCAACGCCGCGUGAGUGAUGAAGGCUUUCGGGUCGUAAAACUCUGUUGUUAGGGAAGAACAAGUGCUAGUUGAAUAAGCUGGCACCUUGACGGUACCUAACCAGAAAGCCACGGCUAACUACGUGCCAGCCGCCGCGGUAA
rnacentral:rRNA from 1 species